GAAUCUUGGACAAUGGGGGCAACCCUGAUCCAGCCAUGCCGCGUGAGCGAUGAAGGCCCUAGGGUUGUAAAGCUCUUUCACCCGUGAAGAUAAUGACGGUAUCCGGAGAAGAAGCCCCGGCUAACUUCGUGCCAGCAGCCGCGGUAAUACGAAGGGGGCUAGCGUUGUUCGGAAUUACUGGGCGUAAAGCGCACGUAGGGGGAUAUUUAAGUCAGGGGUGAAAUCCCAGAGCUCAACUCUGGAACUGCCUUUGAUACUGGGUAUCUUGAGUAUGGAAGAGGUGAGUGGAAUUCCGAGUGUAGAGGUGAAAUUCGUAGAUAUUCGGAGGAACACCAGUGGCGAAGGCGGCUCACUGGUCCAUUACUGACGCUGAGGUGCGAAAGCGUGGGGAGCAAACAGG
rnacentral:rRNA from 1 species